rnacentral:rRNA from 1 species
AGUGAACGCUGGCGGUAGGCCUAACACAUGCAAGUCGAACGGCAGCACAGUAAGAGCUUGCUCUUACGGGUGGCGAGUGGCGGACGGGUGAGGAAUACAUCGGAAUCUACUUUUUCGUGGGGGAUAACGUAGGGAAACUUACGCUAAUACCGCAUACGACCUACGGGUGAAAGCAGGGGAUCUUCGGACCUUUCGCGAUUGAAUGAGCCGAUGUCGGAUUAGCUAGUUGGCGGGGUAAAGGCCCACCAAGGCGACGAUCCGUAGCUGGUCUGAGAGGAUGAUCAGCCACACUGGAACUGAGACACGGUCCAGACUCCUAGGGGAGGCACCAGUGGGGGAUAUUGGACAAUGGGGGCAAGCCUGCUCCAGCAAUACCGCGUGGGUGAAGAAGGCCUUCGGGUGGUAAAGCCCUUUUGUUGGGAAAGAAAAGCAGCAGGUUAACACCGCGCUGUUCUGACGGUACCCAAAGAAUAAGCACCGGCUAACUUCGUG